CGAAAACGCUCGGCGAAACUUUUGAAGAUAUAGACAGGAAUAAUUUUGCCUUAAACUAGAAUUUAAAUGCUAAAUGAUGAUAUAAAGAGUUCCUAAAUGUGAUAUCAUAUGAUAGGGCAAUAAAAUGUUACAAGAUAAUUAAUUUAUUUAAAAACUAACUAAAUAAUUGAAUAAUGAUUAGAAUUCUCUAGAGAAUUCUUUUGUCUAUCAUCAACUCCAAACCCCCCCUCAUUUCAGCCACAAGCACGUCCUCCCCCUCUUCAUAGAAGACCAAAAGCUUAAGCUUUUUAAUUUCCAAAUAUUUGUCAUUUAAUCGGUAAAUCGAUCGGGUAAUCUUGUAUCCGCCAGCAAAUCGAGCGAAGGAGCAUAUAGUGCGUUUUGAUCACAAAGGAGUGGAUUUAGAGGGUAGAGAAGUAUCAAGGUGAAAUAGGCUUAUGUUCAUAAGCCUGCGAGGUUAGAGUCGACAUUAUGUCAGUGGUGUUGCGCAGCUUUGCAUCUUUGGCGAGUCACCGGUGGUCAACUUGGUUUAGUAGUCGUGGCAUGUUAUGUAAUAGUUUAAUCUUUAACCUUCCGCUGGAUAAAUGUUAAGUUUUUAAAUGUAAUAGAUUUUAAUUAUGCUUUUAAGCUAAAAAGAAAAAGGAAAAAUUUCAGCACGGGUUUUCGAUACUGAAACGUGACAUCACUUAUUCGGUGGGUUACCUACCGGGUAAGGGGUGUUACAAGUUUUGGUAUCAGAGCCUAGGUUUAGGCGGUUCUGGAAAGAAGUGAUUCAGUAAAGUGUGUAGAAACAUGCCACAUAGGUUUAAUUGUCUGUUAGUACCAGUGACUCGAUGCAGCUGCUUAUGUCUAAAGUGGAAAGAAGUUAACAAGGUACGGGACAUAGUUUCCCGUGUGACCGAGAAAGAUGUUAUAUGGGACUGGCCACCCCAUAUAGCUCUAAUCUCGGUAGCGUCGGUAUGUGUAAAAGAUUUAAAAAAAAAUUCAGGGAGGAUGGGUCUGAAAAUGUUGAUGAAAAGUAUGUCCUAAUGAAAGAUACUAAUAAAUAUAUGCAGAUUAUGAAAGAGUAUAAGUAAAAGAGAAGAAAAUGAGUUAAAGGAAUGAUAUGGAAAGAAAGUCAGUUAUAGACUAAGUGACCAUCAUGAUAUAAAAGUGUAACACGAAAAUUCACAAAGGUAUGUGGAUUGUCUGAUAUAAGAUGGAUUAAGAGUCAUAAAGUAAUAUCCUAUAAUGAUAAACAAAAGUAUAGAAAUAUGUGAAAGGAAAUGUGUUUGGCAAAAUGAUAAAUAUUGAUAUGAAAACAUAUGAAACUAUAAGGCAUUAUAUGAAUAAAACCAUAAAUGUGCGAAUGAGAAAAUGCGACGAAUAAGAAAUAAAUGAUAUGAUCUGAACAUGUGUGCCCCUAUAUGGAUUACAUGUGUACUUCGAAUCGGGCAAUAUGAGAUAUGACGUGAUGUGAUGGAAAUAUGAACUGAAUAAUCGUGCAAGACAAUAAAUUAUAUGAUUGGAAAUGUGAACUCCGUGAGAAUUAUGUGUGCGCUCGAAUACGAGCUAUAUAAAUGUUAGAACCGAAUGAUGAUUCAGAAAUGAAAUGGAAAAUGGGAAUGUAUGCUCUAAGCGAGCUGUAUAGUAUAUGAUAAGAUAUGUCUAAAAAUAUGAGUUUGAAAUUGAGCUAUAUGAUAUAAAAUGGUAUUCUGGUUGAAAGUGUUGUCCGUGAUCUGUAAAUGUGUUAGUUAUGGAUAAGAAUGAGUUUUGAAAAUAAAUAUGGUUGUUGAUGAAUACUGACUUGAUAUUUGAAUUAUGUUGUGAUUUGGUGGUUUGAUUUGAUAAUCUGUGAUUAACAUUGUAUCUUGUUGGUUUUGGGGAAGCACUGGUUAUAGAGAAAACGCUGCCCAAUUUUUGCUAGAAAUUGAUCAGAUAAAUUAAUACGAAGUUGUGGUAAAUAAACUGAUAAGUGAUAAUACAUGAAGAGAAUGAUGUUACAUGAUGACUUAAGAAAGGAAAAAGGGAAAAGAUAAGAAGUGUUGUGAAUGAUAAUAAAGGAAAACGUAAUGAAAUGAUGAUAUGUGGAAAGUGAAAUGCACCCUUCGUCGGCUAUAAGUGCCCGAAUAGGGACUAUGCAAUUGGGACUAUACAAUAUAUGAUGAGUAUGUGAAUUAUACAUAUGCGUGAUGAAUAUGAUAUGUGCGCCUCAUGUGGACAAAGAAAAGAUGCAAAUAACAUGGAAAUUACUAUGUAAAGAAAUGAUAAUGUGACAAAUGUGCUUGAAAUAUAUUAGAGAUAAUGAUAAUAUUAUUAUGUGAUCGCAAAAUGUGGCUAUGUGUUAAGAUGUGAUUAUGUGAUUUUGUAUGUCAUUCUGUGUUUGGUUAUGGAAGUGAGGAUACGCUAUGUAGAUGAGGAUAUAGGAUGUCGUGGAAUGGCAUACGUAUAUGCGACGCUUAUAGGAAUGAUGUAAACCCGAGGGAAUUUCGAGGACGAAAUUCCUUUUAGGGGGGAUGAGUUGUAACAUCCCGAAUUAUAGGCACCAAUAAAAGGUUUGGAUAUGUGGUGAGGAAUAGUAGUUAAGUUAAACCGUAAGGUAUAAAUUUGAUACGAAAUGCCGAUUAGUCAAUUUUCGGCAAUUUCUUUUGUCCGUGUAAAAUCAUAAAUCGAAGCUAAGGGGUAAUAAUUUUAUAAAUUACAAAUUAUGGCCUAGAAUAAUUGUUGAUAAUGUGAGGAAUUGUUUUGGGCCAUUUGAAGGUAAUUAAAAAAAUUUCUAUCGCCGAUAAUUUCAGUUUUUAACGAAAACGCUCGGCGAAACUUUUGAAGAUAUAGACAGGAAUAAUUUUGCCUUAAACUAGAAUUUAAAUGCUAAAUGAUGAUAUAAAGAGUUCCUAAAUGUGAUAUCAUAUGAUAGGGCAAUAAAAUGUUACAAGAUAAUUAAUUUAUUUAAAAACUAACUAAAUAAUUGAAUAAUGAUUAGAAUUCUCUAGAGAAUUCUUUUGUCUAUCAUCAACUCCAAACCCCCCCUCAUUUCAGCCACAAGCACGUCCUCCCCCUCUUCAUAGAAGACCAAAAGCUUAAGCUUUUUAAUUUCCAAAUAUUUGUCAUUUAAUCGGUAAAUCGAUCGGGUAAUCUUGUAUCCGCCAGCAAAUCGAGCGAAGGAGCAUAUAGUGCGUUUUGAUCACAAAGGAGUGGAUUUAGAGGGUAGAGAAGUAUCAAGGUGAAAUAGGCUUAUGUUCAUAAGCCUGCGAGGUUAGAGUCGACAUUAUGUCAGUGGUGUUGCGCAGCUUUGCAUCUUUGGCGAGUCACCGGUGGUCAACUUGGUUUAGUAGUCGUGGCAUGUUAUGUAAUAGUUUAAUCUUUAACCUUCCGCUGGAUAAAUGUUAAGUUUUUAAAUGUAAUAGAUUUUAAUUAUGCUUUUAAGCUAAAAAGAAAAAGGGAAAAUUUCAGCACGGGUUUUCGAUACUGAAACGUGACAUCACUUAUUCGGUGGGUUACCUACCGGGUAAGGGGUGUUACAAGUUUUGGUAUCAGAGCCUAGGUUUAGGCGGUUCUGGAAAGAAGUGAUUCAGUAAAGUGUGUAGAAACAUGCCACAUAGGUUUAAUUGUCUGUUAGUACCAGUGACUCGAUGCAGCUGCUUAUGUCUAAAGUGGAAAGAAGUUAACAAGGUACGGGACAUAGUUUCCCGUGUGACCGAGAAAGAUGUUAUAUGGGACUGGCCACCCCAUAUAGCUCUAAUCUCGGUAGCGUCGGUAUGUGUAAAAGAUUUAAAAAAAAAUUCAGGGAGGAUGGGUCUGAAAAUGUUGAUGAAAAGUAUGUCCUAAUGAAAGAUACUAAUAAAUAUAUGCAGAUUAUGAAAGAGUAUAAGUAAAAGAGAAGAAAAUGAGUUAAAGGAAUGAUAUGGAAAGAAAGUCAGUUAUAGACUAAGUGACCAUCAUGAUAUAAAAGUGUAACACGAAAAUUCACAAAGGUAUGUGGAUUGUCUGAUAUAAGAUGGAUUAAGAGUCAUAAAGUAAUAUCCUAUAAUGAUAAACAAAAGUAUAGAAAUAUGUGAAAGGAAAUGUGUUUGGCAAAAUGAUAAAUAUUGAUAUGAAAACAUAUGAAACUAUAAGGCAUUAUAUGAAUAAAACCAUAAAUGUGCGAAUGAGAAAAUGCGACGAAUAAGAAAUAAAUGAUAUGAUCUGAACAUGUGUGCCCCUAUAUGGAUUACAUGUGUACUUCGAAUCGGGCAAUAUGAGAUAUGACGUGAUGUGAUGGAAAUAUGAACUGAAUAAUCGUGCAAGACAAUAAAUUAUAUGAUUGGAAAUGUGAACUCCGUGAGAAUUAUGUGUGCGCUCGAAUACGAGCUAUAUAAAUGUUAGAACCGAAUGAUGAUUCAGAAAUGAAAUGGAAAAUGGGAAUGUAUGCUCUAAGCGAGCUGUAUAGUAUAUGAUAAGAUAUGUCUAAAAAUAUGAGUUUGAAAUUGAGCUAUAUGAUAUAAAAUGGUAUUCUGGUUGAAAGUGUUGUCCGUGAUCUGUAAAUGUGUUAGUUAUGGAUAAGAAUGAGUUUUGAAAAUAAAUAUGGUUGUUGAUGAAUACUGACUUGAUAUUUGAAUUAUGUUGUGAUUUGGUGGUUUGAUUUGAUAAUCUGUGAUUAACAUUGUAUCUUGUUGGUUUUGGGGAAGCACUGGUUAUAGAGAAAACGCUGCCCAAUUUUUGCUAGAAAUUGAUCAGAUAAAUUAAUACGAAGUUGUGGUAAAUAAACUGAUAAGUGAUAAUACAUGAAGAGAAUGAUGUUACAUGAUGACUUAAGAAAGGAAAAAGGGAAAAGAUAAGAAGUGUUGUGAAUGAUAAUAAAGGAAAACGUAAUGAAAUGAUGAUAUGUGGAAAGUGAAAUGCACCCUUCGUCGGCUAUAAGUGCCCGAAUAGGGACUAUGCAAUUGGGACUAUACAAUAUAUGAUGAGUAUGUGAAUUAUACAUAUGCGUGAUGAAUAUGAUAUGUGCGCCUCAUGUGGACAAAGAAAAGAUGCAAAUAACAUGGAAAUUACUAUGUAAAGAAAUGAUAAUGUGACAAAUGUGCUUGAAAUAUAUUAGAGAUAAUGAUAAUAUUAUUAUGUGAUCGCAAAAUGUGGCUAUGUGUUAAGAUGUGAUUAUGUGAUUUUGUAUGUCAUUCUGUGUUUGGUUAUGGAAGUGAGGAUACGCUAUGUAGAUGAGGAUAUAGGAUGUCGUGGAAUGGCAUACGUAUAUGCGACGCUUAUAGGAAUGAUGUAAACCCGAGGGAAUUUCGAGGACGAAAUUCCUUUUAGGGGGGAUGAGUUGUAACAUCCCGAAUUAUAGGCACCAAUAAAAGGUUUGGAUAUGUGGUGAGGAAUAGUAGUUAAGUUAAACCGUAAGGUAUAAAUUUGAUACGAAAUGCCGAUUAGUCAAUUUUCGGCAAUUUCUUUUGUCCGUGUAAAAUCAUAAAUCGAAGCUAAGGGGUAAUAAUUUUAUAAAUUACAAAUUAUGGCCUAGAAUAAUUGUUGAUAAUGUGAGGAAUUGUUUUGGGCCAUUUGAAGGUAAUUAAAAAAAUUUCUAUCGCCGAUAAUUUCAGUUUUUAACGAAAACGAUCGGCGAAACUUUUGAAGAUAUAGACAGGAAUAAUUUUGCCUUAAACUAGAAUUUAAAUGCUAAAUGAUGAUAUAAAGAGUUCCUAAAUGUGAUAUCAUAUGAUAGGGCAAUAAAAUGUUACAAGAUAAUUAAUUUAUUUAAAAACUAACUAAAUAAUUAAAUAAUGAUUAGAAUUCUCUAGAGAAUUCUUUUGUCUAUCAUCAACUCCAAACCCCCCCUCAUUUCAGCCAAAAGCACGUCCUCCCCCUCUCCAUGGAAGACCAAAAGCUUAAGCUUUUUAAUUUCCAAAUAUUUGUCAUUUAAUCGGUAAAUCGAUCGGGUAAUCUUGUAUCCGCCAGCAAAUCGAGCAAAGGAGCAUAUAGUGCGUUUUGAUCACAAAGGAGUGGAUUUAGAGGGUAGAGAAGUAUCAAGGUGAAAUAGGCUUAUGUUCAUAAGCCUGCGAGGUUAGAGUCGACAUUAUGUCAGUGGUGUUGCGCAGCUUUGCAUCUUUGGCGAGUCACUGGUGGUCAACUUGGUUUAGUAGUCGUGGCAUGUUAUGUAAUAGUUUAAUCUUUAACCUUCCGCUGGAUAAAUGUUAAGUUUUUAAAUGUAAUAGAUUUUAAUUAUGCUUUUAAGCUAAAAAGAAAAAGGAAAAAUUUCAGCA